rnacentral:rRNA from 1 species
UUCAUGGAGAGUUUGAUCCUGGCUCAGGACGAACGCUGGCGGCGUGCCUAAUACAUGCAAGUCGAGCGAACCGACGGGAGCUUGCUCCCUUAGGUUAGCGGCGGACG